ACGAACGCUGGCGGCGUGCUUAACACAUGCAAGUCGUACGGUAAGGCCCUUUCGGGGGUACACGAGUGGCGAACGGGUGAGUAACACGUGAGUAACCUGCCCACAACUUUGGGAUAACGCUAGGAAACUGGUGCUAAUACUGGAUAUGUGCUCCUGCUGCAUGGUGGGGGUUGGAAAGCUCCGGCGGUUGUGGAUGGACUCGCGGUCUAUCAGCUUGUUGGUGGGGUAGUGGCCUACCAAGGCGGCGACGGGUAGCCGGCCUGAGAGGGUGACCGGCCACAUUGGGACUGAGAUACGGCCCAGACUCCUACGGGAGGCAGCAGUGGGGAAUAUUGCACAAUGGGCGCAAGCCUGAUGCAGCAACGCCGCGUGCGGGAUGACGGCCUUCGGGUUGUAAACCGCUUUCAGCAGGGACGAAGCUUUUUGUGACGGUACCUGCAGAAGAAGCACCGGCUAACUACGUG
rnacentral:rRNA from 1 species